GGAAAGAAUGUUAAAGGCAGCCAGAGAGAAAGGGCAGUCCAUAUACAAAGGGAACCCCAUUAGGCUAACAGCAGAUCUCUCAGCUGAAAUCCUACAAGCCAGAAGGGAUUUGGGGACUAUAUUUAACAUUAUGAAAGAAAAUCUCCAACCAAGUAUUUCAUAUCCAGCUAAACUAAGCUUCCUAAGUGAAGGAGAAAUGAGAUCAUUUACAGACAAGCAAAUUCUGAGUUUUGCACAUUGAGUGUAAUGCUGGCUGUGGGUUUGUCAUGGCUAGCUCUCAUCAUUUUGGCACUUCCAACUAGAAGGGCAAGAGGGGCCAGUGUUGUUGUUACCUGAAAGGUGAUGGCAUCAGCUGAGAAGGGAAGGAAGCCCAUGUGAGGACACUGAAGAAGGAGUGAGCAGACAAUAAGAAGCCCACAGAAGACAGAGAAGGAAAAACUAGAGGGAGAAGCCAAGACACUACCCAAAGCAGUCCUUCACUACAGUGGCAGACAGACCUGAAAAUUUUCAUCUGAAGCAGCAGAGUGAACUGCAGAGUCAGGUCACCAACCAGUGUGGAGGCUAACAGCAGGCCUCUUUGGGGAUUCCAGGUGGAAGUGUUGGACAUCUGUAGUAUUCCUGGUCUCGAAUCAUCCUGAUAUUCUUCAUUUUGUUAUUCACAUUGGACUAGG
rnacentral:lncRNA from 1 species